ACGGAAGGCAGCAGUGGGGAAUAUUGCACAAUGGGGGAAACCCUGAUGCAGCGACGCCGCGUGAGUGAAGAAGUUAUUCGUAAUGUAAAGCUCUAUCAGCAGGGAAGAAAAUGACGGUACCUGACUAAGAAGCCCCGGCUAACUACGUGCCAGCAGCCGCGGUAAUACGUAGGGGGCAAGCGUUAUCCGGAUUUACUGGGUGUAAAGGGAGCGUAGACGGUCUGGCAAGUCUGAUGUGAAAGGCAGGGGCUCAACUCCUGGACUGCAUUGGAAACUGUCAGUCUUGAGUGUCGGAGAGGUAAGCGGAAUUCCUAGUGUAGCGGUGAAAUGCGUAGAUAUUAGGAGGAACACCAGUGGCGAAGGCGGCUUACUGGACUGUAACUGACGUUGAGGCUCGAAAGCGUGGGGAGCAAACAGGAUUAGAUACCCUGGUA
rnacentral:rRNA from 1 species